CACGUCUUGGAACUGAUUCCUGCACACAGCUGUAGUUGGGACUUGGUAUGGUAGAGGCGAAGCAUUUUUGGCUAAGGUUGUUGGCAGGAGGACCCUAUGAUGCUUCUUGCACUGAGGAGCUGAGUACCUGCCCUGAAAUCAACCAUUUGACUUCUACUGAGACUUCUAAUGGAUGGUUCUGAAGAUUUAUACUUGAUUUCUGUAGUUGACCACAAGUGUGACACAGGCACUAAAAGUGUGUUUAUAUUAAAAUUUCAUGUAAUUCC